UGGGGAAUAUUGCACAAUGGGCGCAAGCCUGAUGCAGCCAUGCCGCGUGUAUGAAGAAGGCCUUCGGGUUGUAAAGUACUUUCAGUCGGGAGGAAGGUGGUAAGGUUAAUAACCUUGGCAAUUGACGUUACCGACAGAAGAAGCACCGGCUAACUCCGUGCCAGCAGCCGCGGUAAUACGGAGGGUGCAAGCGUCAAUCGGAAUUACUGGGCGUAAAGCGCACGCAGGCGGUUGAUUGAGUCAGAUGUGAAAUCCCCGGGCUUACCCGGGAAUUGCAUCUGAUACUGGUCAGCUAGAGUCUUGUAGAGGGGGGUAGAAUUCCAUGUGUAGCGGUGAAAUGCGUAGAGAUGUGGAGGAAUACCGGUGGCGAAGGCGGCCCCCUGGACAAAGACUGACGCUCAGGUGCGAAAGCGUGGGGAGCAAACAGG
rnacentral:rRNA from 1 species